rnacentral:rRNA from 1 species
AUUGAACGCUGGCGGCAUGCCUUACACAUGCAAGUCGAACGGUAACAGGUCUUCGGAUGCUGACGAGUGGCGAACGGGUGAGUAAUACAUCGGAACGUGCCCGAUCGUGGGGGAUAACGAAGCGAAGGCUUUGCUAAUACCGCAUAAGAUCUACGGAUGAAAGCAGGGGACCGCAAGGCCUUGCGCGAACGGAGCGGCCGAUGGCAGAUUAGGUAGUUGGUGGGAUAAAAGCUUACCAAGCCGACGAUCUGUAGCUGGUCUGCGAGGACGACCAGCCACACUGGGACUGAGACACGGCCCAGACUCCUACGGGAGGCAGCAGUGGGGAAUUUUGGACAAUGGGCGAAAGCCUGAUCCAGCCAUGCCGCGUGCAGGAUGAAGGCCUUCGGGUUGUAAACUGCUUUUGUACGGAACGAAAAGACUCUUUCUAAUAAAGAGGGUCCAUGACGGUACCGUAAGAAUAAGUACCGGCUAACUACGUGCCAGCCGCCGCCGUAA